UACAGAGGGUGCGAGCGUUGUUCGGAAUUACUGGGCGUAAAGGGCUCGUAGGCGGCCAACUAAGUCGGAUGUGAAAUCCCCAGGCUUAACUUGGGAACUGCAUCCGAUACUGGAUGGCUUGAAUCCGGGAGAGGGAUGCGGAAUUCCAGGUGUAGCGGUGAAAUGCGUAGAUAUCUGGAGGAACACCGGUGGCGAAGGCGGCAUCCUGGACCGGCAUUGACGCUGAUGAGCGAAAGCCAGGGGAGCAAACGGG
rnacentral:rRNA from 1 species